rfam:Ornatilinea apprima strain P3M-1 contig_8, whole genome shotgun sequence.
CAGGCCGGUCGGGUGACCGCGGCGCGCCUCGCGCGCGUCGAGGAAAGUCCGCACUCCAUAGAGCAAGAUGCCGGGUAACACCCGGGGCGGGGCAACCUGCCGGAUCGGGCCACAGAAACAUACCGCCCCUCGGGGUAAGGGUGAAAUGGUGGUGUAAGAGACCACCGGCGACCGCAGCAAUGCGGCGGCCAGGCAACCCCCAUCUGGAGCAAGGCCAAGCAGGUACAAAGCUCUCUUGUAGAGCGGGAGGCGGCUCGUCUUCCUUGAGUUCCGGGUAGGCUGCACGAGCGCGCCGGAGACGGCGCGCCUAGAGAGAUGGUCACCGAUGACAGAAUGCGGCUUAUAGAUCGACCUGAGUG